ensembl:lncRNA
AUGGAGUUGUUCAUCUUCAUAGUGUUUCAGCUCCUGAUGGAGGUUCAGUCUUACAAUUCACUUCCGAAACCCAUCAUCAGUGUUAGGGAUGAUGAUGUCCAGCUCAUCAUAUCAUGUGAAAUACCACUUUCAGUCAGAGCUGAUUUUAUCUGUAGUCUCUACACUGAGGAUGAUGUUCUUCUGUAUCAACGUGUCUCUCAGUGGAAUCAGUCUGGAAAGAAUCUUUGUAUGUUUUAUGUAAGUUGUAGUGAACUCUUGACACGAUCAGUGAACAGCAGACAGCUGAUCUGUGUUUAUUCACUCAAGACUGAACCUGAGAUCAGAUCACCACGCAGUGACACAUACACCUUCAGAGACACAAUCACCAUCAGAGAUCUUCCUCAGGCCAAGUUGAGAGUGUCUGCUUCAGUUAUUCUGGAAACAGACACAGUUGAGCUUAGCUGUGAGAAUACUGAAGAUCUGAAGAUGGAGAAGUGUUACUUCAACAUAAAUGGAAGAGAAAGUAACUCAAAACAGAGCUCAUCAUGUCAGCUCUCACUCACUGGAUCUCAGAUCAGUGUUUGGUCUGGAGGUCAGAGUUCAUCUGUGAGAAUAAGCUGCUUCUACACUGUGACUUUGUCACAAGUUCAAAAACCAUCUGCUCACUCUGAUCCAGUGACAGUAACAGUCCAGAUUUCAACAUCAACCAUUGAACAUACGAAUACAACAGCCACGACAACCUGUGAGUAAUUUAAUUUCUAAAUCACUUUUAUUCUUACUCCAUUCUGAAUGUCCUCAAAACAAAUAUUAUUCUUUCAAACUCAUGAUUAUUUGUUGAACAUUUACUAUGUCACUGCAAAAUUCACAAUGUUUUUUCAACAGCUUUAACUGUAAUGUCCACUUCUGAAACCACAACAUACGGUAAAACUUACUGAUUUACAACUUACAAGUUACUGAUAACACAUUUUCUGAUUAUUAUUUAAGAUUAUUUGAGAUAAAAUCUGAGAAAAGAUUCCCUUCUAACAAGAGAUUCCCCUUGCGAUAUGCUAUUUUUAUAUUAGUAGACCUUCAUUCCAAGACAAACAUUCCAACCAACACAGCAAAGGAAAAAAUGUGUAAGUCAUCAAUAGUAAAACUCUGUCACUGUGCAUACAUGCAUCAUACAUAUGAAUGCUUCUUCAGUAUCACACAAUAUACAACUUCAUUUAAAAAAAAAAAAGAUUAUUUUGGAUCUGUCUUCCACAGUUAUCUUUUUUUUUUAUUAUUAUUGGUACAAUGUUUAGUUCAGAACAAUAUAAAGAAACAUAUGUAUGCCAGUGUUUGGUUUGUUAAAUACAACUUGAGAUGUUCUCACUGCAGUUUCAACAUCAAUAUCCCCUCAAAAAACUUCACAACUGGACACUGUCAUUUCCACGUCUGAAACCCCGGUGUACCGCACAACAGGUAACUUACUGCAUCUUUUCUAAAUAUAAGUAUUAUGCCAUAUAUAAGGAAAAUUCUUAUUUUUAUGCAACUUCAUCAAAUACUGAAACACUGCUGUAUAAAAUCCUCAUUAUGCAUCAGUCAAGUGUGAUUUU